rnacentral:rRNA from 1 species
AGAGUUUGAUCCUGGCUCAGAGCGAACGCUGGCGGCGCGCUUAACACAUGCAAGUCGAACGCGAAAGUCACCUUCGGGUGGCGAGUAGAGUGGCGGACGGGUGAGUACAACGUGGGUAACCUGCCCCUGAAUCGGGAACAACCCUUCGAAAGGAGGGCUAAUACCGGAUAAUACCCAGAGCACAUAAGUGCUUUGGUUCAAAGGAGGCCUCUGUUUCAUGCUUUCGUUUGGGGAGGGGCUCACGCCCCAUUAGCUAGUUGGUGAGGUAACGGCCCACCAAGGCAACGAUGGGUAGCCGACCUGAGAGGGUGAUCGGCCACACUGGGACUGAGACACGGCCCAGACUCCUACGGGAGGCAGCAGUGAGGAAUUUUCCGCAAUGGGCGAAAGCCUGACGGAGCGACGCCGCGUGCGUGAUUAAGGCCUUCGGGUCGUAAAGCGCUGUCGAAGGGGAAGAACUGUACUUUGGCUAAUACCCAUCGUAUUUGACGGUACCCUUCAAGGAAGCCCCGGCUAACUCCGUGCCAGCAGCCGCGGUAAUACGGGGGGGGCAAGCGUUGCUCGGAAUUAUUGGGCGUAAAGGGCUCGUAGGCGGCCCAUCCAGUUGGUUGUGAAAUCCCUCGGCUUAACCGAGGAACUGCGACCAAUACUAGUGGGCUUGAGUGCGGGAGAGGCGAGCGGAAUUCCAUGUGUAGCGGUGAAAUGCGUAGAUAUAUGGAGGAACACCGGUGGCGAAGGCGGCUCGCUGGACCGCAACUGACGCUGAGGAGCGAAAGCUAGGGGAGCAAACAGGAUUAGAUACCCUGGUAGUCCUAGCUGUAAACGAUGGGUACUUGGUGUGGUGGGUGUCGAUCCCCGCCGUGCCGGAGCUAACGCGUUAAGUACCCCGCCUGGGGAGUACGGUCGCAAGUCUGAAACUCAAAGGAAUUGACGGGGGCCCGCACAAGCGGUGGAGCAUGUGGUUUAAUUCGACAACGCGAAGAACCUUACCUGGGUUUGAACUGCAGUGGACCGCCUUAGAGAUAAGGCUUCCCUUCGGGGCUGCUGUAGAGGUGCUGCAUGGCUGUCGUCAGCUCGUGUCGUGAGAUGUUGGGUUAAGUCCCGCAACGAGCGCAACCCUUGCCUGUAGUUACCAGCGAGUAAUGUCGGGGACUCUACGGGGACUGCCGGUGAUAAACCGGAGGAAGGUGGGGAUGACGUCAAGUCCUCAUGGCCUUUAUGUCCAGGGCUACACACGUGCUACAAUGGUCGGUACAAUGUGUUGCGAACUCGCGAGAGUGAGCCAAUCACAAAAAACCGAUCUCAGUUCGGAUUGGAGUCUGCAACUCGACUCCAUGAAGUUGGAAUCGCUAGUAAUCGCGUAUCAGCAUGACGCGGUGAAUACGUUCCCGGGCCUUGUACACACCGCCCGUCACAUCACGAAAGCUGGCUGUACUAGAAGUCGCUGAGCUAACCCUUCGGGGAUGCAAGUGCCGACGGUAUGGUUGGUGAUUGGGGUGAAGUCGGAACAAGGUA